rnacentral:rRNA from 1 species
AACGAACGCUGGCGGCAUGCCUAACACAUGCAAGUCGAACGAGACCUUCGGGUCUAGUGGCGCACGGGUGCGUAACGCGUGGGAACCUGCCCUUAGGUUCGGAAUAACUCCCCGACAGGGGUGCUAAUACCGGAUAAUGUCUUCGGAUCAAAGAUUGAUCGCCUUUGGAUGGGCCCGCGUUGGAUUAGCUAGUUGGUAGGGUAAAAGCCUACCAAGGCGACGAUCCAUAGCUGGUCUGAGAGGAUGAUCAGCCACACUGGGACUGAGACACGGCCCAGACUCCUACGGGAGGCAGCAGUGAGGAAUAUUGGACAAUGGGCGAAAGCCUGAUCCAGCAAUGCCGCGUGAGUGAUGAAGGCCUUAGGGUUGUAAAGCUCUUUUACCCGGGAUGAUAAUGACAGUACCGGGAGAAUAAGCUCCGGCUAACUCCGUG